rnacentral:lncRNA from 1 species
GGUACUGUUUCUGAGAGAAGGGAGCUUUGCUGUCAUCUGAGAUUGUCCUGAAAGCAUUUUUCAGAUUGUGCAGAUCUCUUUGCAAGAAUUUUCUGAGCACAUUUUAGACACACCAAGUCAGCUCGAUUAAGUGCUGUGCAAGCACGAUAGUGUUGAACAGGAAAAACAGAUACCACCUUUCUUGCUUUUAAUUAGCCAAACAUACCUCUCUGCUGCAAGAUACUCAUUACUCUUUGUCUUUGUGUACACGAAUGGGGCAAUAACAUACUGUAGACAAGCCUCUAGGAAGGAUGGCAUCAGGAUUGUAGUGCCUUCCAAACAAGCAAGUGAUAUUCACUUGUGGAUUCCUGUCGAUAAGUUGUUGCCUUCUGAUAAUCCGCUUUACUAAAAGCCAGAUCAGCAAUGUCAUCGGCUGGUUCAGCUGAGCUACACACGGUCCGUAUGCACUCUAAUACCUUUGAUCUUCCUAGAAGAUAUAUUAUGUGUCACGGAUCUUGAAUUGCGUGUGACAUU